UACGUAGGGAGCAAGCGUUGUCCGGAAUCAUUGGGCGUAAAGCGCGCGUAGGCGGCCCGAUAAGUCCGCUGUAAAAGUCAACGGCUCAACUGUUGAAAGCCGGUGGAUACUGGCGAUCUUGAGUCCGGAAGAGGUGAGUGGAACUCCUAGUGUAGAGGUGGAAUUCGUAGAUAGUUAGGAAGAACACCAGUGGCAGGAAGGCGGCUCACUGGUCCGGUACUGGACGCUGAGGUGCGAAAGCGUGGGGCAAACAGG
rnacentral:rRNA from 1 species